UGUACCUACGGGACGCAGCAGUCGAGAAUCAUUCACAAUGGGGGAAACCCUGAUGGUGCGACGCCGCGUGGGGGAAUGAAGGGCUUCGGAUUGUAAACCCCUGUCAUGUGGGAGCAAAUUAAAAAGAUGGUACCACAAGAGGAAGAGACGGCUAACUCUGUGCCAGCAGCCGCAGUAAUACAGAGGUCUCAAGCGUUGUUCGGAAUCACUGGGCGUAAAGCGUGCGUAGACUGUUUCGUAAGUCGUGUGUGAAAGGCGCGGGC
rnacentral:rRNA from 1 species